rnacentral:rRNA from 1 species
AUGGCCCCCGCCGCAGCCGCCGCGCCGGCGCCGGCCGCCACCGCCUGCUCCUCGUCGGCCAGCUCCGCGCGCCCUCCCUCCACCGCCUCCUCCUCCUCCCAGUCGCCGCCCAGGCGCACGGUCCCGGCGCUCCUCCUCUUCACCUCCCUCGCCGCCCUCCUCAUCCUCUCCUCCGGCGAGGCCCACGACGCCGACGCCGCGUCCGGCCGCCCCCUCAAAGAUGUUAGUUUCGAAAAUCCAGAGGUGACUUUUGCUCCCUCGUCCAUGGGUGGAAUCUUUUGUGAGCGAAUCCGCAUUUCUGGAAUACCAAGGUGGCAGUUUCAAAGCUACGCAAAUCAAAUACAUGUUCGAAUGAAUGUUUCUCAUUCAAUGCCAGAAAAAUUCCAUUGGAAAAUACAGAUUUGCUUUCAUGGGAAUGCUUCUACGGGUUUGUGCCAAUGUGAGAUGGAUGAAUGGCAAGCUCUGCAAGGUGGCAUGUGGAAUGCUGUGAAGUCUCCAUAUGCCAGCAGAUAUGUUGAUGUGAAACUGACUGAUAAGAAAUCUACUGUCUUCAGCCUUUCCAUUCAGGAAGAGCUUCAGAAGUGGCGUUUAGCUUGCCUUGGUAUUGGAUUUGUCCUGUUAUUCCUGUCACCCAUCGUUAGUAAAUGGGCACCUUUUUACUAUAGCAGCUCUAUGGCACUUGGAAUCCUACUUGUGGUGCUGAUUGUCCUUUUCCAGGGGAUGAAACUGCUACCGAUGGGCAAAAAAGGUUUAUUUUACCUUACAAUUUAUGGAUCUGUGUUGGGUGUUGGCUCCUAUGCUGCACACUACUUCUCCUCAAUGGUUGCCUCUAUUCUGGAAAACUUUGGCUUGAGCGAGGAGAUGCACAACCCUGUUUCAAUCUUUCUGCUGGUAGCAGUUGUUUUGACUGGAGCUGGUUUUGGCUAUUGGAUGGUGAGGAGAUUUAUCAUUUCAAAAGAUGGCAGUGUUGAUGCCGGGAUAGCACAGUUUGUAAAGUGGGCUAUGCGUGUUGUUGCAAUGUUCUUUGUUAUGCAGAGCACACUGGACCCUAUUCUAGCAUCGGCUGCUCUAGUUGCUAGCUGGUGGAUUUGCUCUGUACUGACGGCAAAGAAAGUUCACAAGCCAAUAGCACGGAAGCGAAAACAAUUAAAUGUGCCUUCUCAUCCAAGGUUUACUCAAGUAUCACCCAACACUCGCCAGGUCCAGUUCUUAAGUCCAUCAUCAGGGGCGGGUACUGGAAGAGCCACAACAACACAGUAUGGUUGGAACAAUUUAGCCAAUGGAGGUUUGGUCCCCUCAGCAAUGGGAAAGAGGGUAGCACCCAAUCAAGAUGAAGACUACUACUCCACCUUCCACAACAUCGAACCACGGAAAUACUCAAAGAGAGAAUGGGAGGAGUUCACCGAGGAAUCGACCAGAAACGCACUGAUGGUACACACGGCCACCCCAGAGUUCGCCCAAUGGGCUGCUGACAAUGCUCACCGGCUGCGGGUGGAGCGGGACGACGCGUCCGAGGACGAGUCGAUCGAGAGCUCCUCUAGCUCUUCCGAAGAAGCUGAGAAAGGCGGAAAAGCUUCCGGUCUGUUGAGCGGGUUUACGUGA